rnacentral:rRNA from 1 species
GGCGGCGUGCUUAACACAUGCAAGUCGAACGGGAAACCUUUUAUUGAAGCUUCGGCAGAUUUAGAUUGUUUUUAGUGGCGGACGGGUGAGUAACGCGUGGGUAACCUGCCUUAUACGGGGGGAUAACAGUCAGAAAUGACUGCUAAUACCGCAUAAGCGCACAGAGCUGCGUGGCUCGGUGUGAAAAACUCCGGUGGUAUAAGAUGGACCCGCGUUGGAUUAGCUAGUUGGUGAGGUAACGGCCCACCAAGGCGACGAUCCAUAGCCGGCCUGAGAGGGUGAACGGCCACAUUGGGACUGAGACACGGCCCACACUCCUACGGGAGGCAGCAGUGGGGAAUAUUGCACAAUGGGGGAAACCCUGAUGCAGCGACGCCGCGUGAAGGAAGAAGUAUCUCGGUAUGUAAACUUCUAUCAGCAGGGAAGAAAAUGACGGUACCUGACUAAGAAGCCCCGGCUAACUACGUGCCAGCAGCCGCGGUAAUACGUAGGGGGCAAGCGUUAUCCGGAUUUACUGGGUGUAAAGGGAGCGUAGACGGAUGGACAAGUCUGAUGUGAAAGGCUGGGGCUCAACCCCGGGACUGCAUUGGAAACUGCCCGUCUUGAGUGCCGGAGAGGUAAGCGGAAUUCCUAGUGUAGCGGUGAAAUGCGUAGAUAUUAGGAGGAACACCAGUGGCGAAGGCGGCUUACUGGACGGUAACUGACGUUGAGGCUCGAAAGCGUGGGGAGCAAACAGGAUUAGAUACCCUGGUAGUCCACGCGGUAAACG